rnacentral:rRNA from 1 species
CUACGGGAGGCAGCAGUGGGGAAUAUUGGACAAUGGGGGAAACCCUGAUCCAGCCAUGCCGCGUGUGUGAAGAAGGCCUUUUGGUUGUAAAGCACUUUAAGCAGUGAAGAAGACUCUUCGGUUAAUACCCGGAGACGAUGACAUUAGCUGCAGAAUAAGCACCGGCUAACUCUGUGCCAGCAGCCGCGGUAAUACAGAGGGUGCAAGCGUUAAUCGGAAUUCCUGGGCGUAAAGCGAGCGUAGGUGGCUUGAUAAGUCAGAUGUGAAAUCCCCGGGCUUAACCUGGGAACUGCAUCUGAAACUGUUAGGCUAGAGUAGGUGAGAGGGAAGUAGAAUUUCAGGUGUAGCGGUGAAAUGCGUAGAGAUCUGAAGGAAUACCGAUGGCGAAGGCAGCUUCCUGGCAUCAUACUGACACUGAGGCUCGAAAGCGUGGGUAGCAACAGGAUUAGAUACCCUGGUAGUCCACGCCGUAAACGAUGUCUACUAGUCGUUGGGUCCCUUGAGGACUUAGUGACGCAGCUAACGCAAUAAGUAGACCGCCUGGGGAGUACGGCCGCAAGGUUAAAACUCAAAGGAAUUGACGG